rnacentral:rRNA from 1 species
CUACAGGCUUAACACAUGCAAGUCGAGGGGCAUCAGGAAGAAAGCUUGCUUUCUUUGCUGGCGACCGGCGCACGGGUGAGUAACACGUAUCCAACCUGCCCUUUACUCGGGGAUAGCCUUUCGAAAGAAAGAUUAAUACCCGAUGGCAUAAUGAUUCCGCAUGGUUUCAUUAUUAAAGGAUUCCGGUAAAGGAUGGGGAUGCGUUCCAUUAGGUUGUUGGUGAGGUAACGGCUCACCAAGCCUUCGAUGGAUAGGGGUUCUGAGAGGAAGGUCCCCCACAUUGGAACUGAGACACGGUCCAAACUCCUACGGGAGGCAGCAGUGAGGAAUAUUGGUCAAUGGGCGCUAGCCUGAACCAGCCAAGUAGCGCGAAGGAUGAAGGCUCUAUGGGUCGUAAACUUCUUUUAUAUAAGAAUAAAGUGCAGUAUGUAUACUGUUUUGUAUGUAUUAUAUGAAUAAGGAUCGGCUAACUCCGUGCCAGCAGCCGCGGUAAUACGGAGGAUCCGAGCGUUAUCCGGAUUUAUUGGGUUUAAAGGGAGCGUAGGUGGACUGGUAAGUCAGUUGUGAAAGUUUGCGGCUCAACCGUAAAAUUGCAGUUGAUACUGUCAGUCUUGAGUACAGUAGAGGUGGGCGGAAUUCGUGGUGUAGCGGUGAAAUGCUUAGAUAUCACGAAGAACUCCGAUUGCGAAGGCAGCUCACUGGACUGCAACUGACACUGAUGCUCGAAAGUGUGGGUAUCAAACAGGAUUAGAUACCCUGGUAGUCCACACAGUAAACGAUGAAUACUCGCUGUUUGCGAUAUACAGUAAGCGGCCAAGCGAAAGCAUUAAGUAUUCCACCUGGGGAGUACGCCGGCAACGGUGAAACUCAAAGGAAUUGACGGGGGCCCGCACAAGCGGAGGAACAUGUGGUUUAAUUCGAUGAUACGCGAGGAACCUUACCCGGGCUUAAAUUGCAGUGGAAUGAUGUGGAAACAUGUCAGUGAGCAAUCACCGCUGUGAAGGUGCUGCAUGGUUGUCGUCAGCUCGUGCCGUGAGGUGUCGGCUUAAGUGCCAUAACGAGCGCAACCCUUAUCUUUAGUUACUAACAGGUUAUGCUGAGGACUCUAGAGAGACUGCCGUCGUAAGAUGUGAGGAAGGUGGGGAUGACGUCAAAUCAGCACGGCCCUUACGUCCGGGGCUACACACGUGUUACAAUGGGGGGUACAGAAGGCAGCUAGCGGGUGACCGUAUGCUAAUCCCAAAAGCCUCUCUCAGUUCGGAUCGAAGUCUGCAACCCGACUUCGUGAAGCUGGAUUCGCUAGUAAUCGCGCAUCAGCCACGGCGCGGUGAAUACGUUCCCGGGCCUUGUACACACCGCCCGUCAAGCCAUGGGAGCCGGGGGUACCUGAAGUACGUAACCGCAAGGAUCGUCCUAGGGUAAAACUGGUGACUGGGGCUAAGUCAUAACA